UACGGGGAGGCAGCAGUGGGGAAUAUUGCACAAUGGGCGCAAGCCUGAUGCAGCCAUGCCGCGUGUAUGAAGAAGGCCUUCGGGUUGUAAAGUACUUUCAGUCGUGAGGAAGGUGUUAAGGUUAAUAACCUUAGCAAUUGACGUUAGCGACAGAAGAAGCACCGGCUAACUCCGUGCCAGCAGCCGCGGUAAUACGGAGGGUGCGAGCGUUAAUCGGAAUUACUGGGCGUAAAGGGCACGCAGGCGGUUAAUUAAGUUGGAUGUGAAAUCCCCGGGCUUAACCUGGGAAUGGCAUUCAAGACUGGUUAGCUAGAGUCUUGUAGAGGGGGUAGAAUUCCAUGUGUAGCGGUGAAAUGCGUAGAGAUGUGGAGGAAUACCGGGUGGCGAAGGCGGCCCCUGGGACAAGACUGACGCUCAUGUGCGAAGCGUGGGGAGCGAAACGAGGAUUAGAUACC
rnacentral:rRNA from 1 species